rnacentral:rRNA from 1 species
AUUGAACGCUGGCGGCAGGCCUAACACGUGCAAGUCGAGCGGUAACACAGGGAGCUUGCUCCUGGGUGACGAGCGGCGGACGGGUGAGUAAUGUCUGGGAAACUGCCUGAUGGAGGGGGAUAACUACUGGAAAAGGUAGCUAAUACCGCAUAACGUCGCAAGACCAAAGAGGGGGACCUUCGGGCCUCUUGCCAUCAGAUGUGCCCAGAUGGGAUUAGCUAGUAGGUGGGGUAACGGCUCACCUAGGCGACGAUCCCUAGCUGGUCUGAGAGGAUGACCAGCCAAACUGGAACGGAGACACGGUCCAGACUCCUACGGGAGUCAGCAGUGGGGAAUAUUGCACAAUGGGCGCAAGCCUGAUGCAGCCAUGCCGCGUGUAUGAAGAAGGCCUUCGGGUUGUAAAGUACUUUCAGCGGGGAGGAAGGCGAUAAGGUUAAUAACCUUGUCGAUUGACGUUACCCGCAGAAGAAGCACCGGCUAACUCCGUGCCAGCAGCCGCCGUAA